GACGAACGCUGGCGGCGUGCUUAACACAUGCAAGUCGAACGGAAAGGCGCUGCUUUUGUGGGGUGCUCGAGUGGCGAACGGGUGAGUAACACGUGAGUAACCUGCCCGUGGCUGUGGGAUAACUUCCGGAAACUGGGGCUAAUACCGGAUAGAAGCUCCUGCUGCAUGGGGGGGGUUGGAAAGUUUCGGCGGUUGGGGAUGGACUCGCGGCAUAUCCGCUUGUUGGGGGGGUAGUGGCCUACCAGGGCGGUGACGGGUAGCCGGCGUGAGAGGGUGAUAGGCCACAUUGGAACGGAGCCAGGCACCAUACGACUGAGAUAGGCAGCAGUCUGGAACGGUAGGCAACAGUGGAGAAUAUGACACAAUAGGGGGAAGCCUGAGGCGGCGGCGCUGCGUGCGUGAUGACGGCUUUCGGGUUGUAAACCGCUUUGGCCUGUGACGAAGCGGGAGUGACGGUAACGGGUAAAGAAGCACCGGCUAACUACGUG
rnacentral:rRNA from 1 species